rnacentral:lncRNA from 1 species
GACCUGAAUAAACAUUUCAAAGGUUUUAAAAAUUACAUCAUUUUAGAAUCUAAAGGAACCUUAGAGGUCGUCUGGUUCACCUCUGCCCAUUUUAUUGAUGAAGAAGCUGAGGCCCAGAGAAGCCAUAGAACUUUAUGAAGUUCUGUAUUUAAUGGCAAAACUGGGUCUAUAAGCUAACUUUCCCAAGUGCUGACCUGAUCUAAUAUAGCUAUAGAGUACCUUCUAUUUUAAGUCUUUUUUCUCUAAUAAUACCUUGCACUAAGCCUGGCGCAUAGAAUGCAUAUAUUCCACAAAGCUUUCUUGUACCAAAAAUCCCUGUGAAAUCUGAC